rnacentral:rRNA from 1 species
UACGGGGGGAGCAAGCGUUGUUCGGAUUUACUGGGCGUAAAGGGCGCGUAGGCGGCGCAACAAGUCACUUGUGAAAUCUCCGGGCUUAACCCGGAGCGGCCAAGUGAUACUGUCGUGCUAGAGUGCGGAAGGGGCUACUGGAAUUCUCGGUGUAGCGGUGAAAUGCGUAGAUAUCGAGAGGAACACCUGCGGCGAAGGCGGGUAGCUGGGCCGACACUGACGCUGAGGCGCGAAAGCCAGGGGGGCGAACGGG